AGAGUUUGAUCAUGGCUCAGGACGAACGCAGGCGGCGUGCUAAUACAUGCAAGUCGAGCGGGGUUAUAAGGGAAGCUUGCUUUUCUUAUGACCUAGCGGCGAACGGGUGAGUAACACGUAGGCAACCUGCCCAUAAGACCGGGAUAACAUUCGGAAACGGAUGCUAAGACCGGAUAGGCAGCCCUGUCGCAUGAUGGGGCUGGGAAACACGGUGCAAGCUGUGGCUUAUGGAUGGGCCUGCGGCGCAUUAGCUAGUUGGCGGGGUAACGGCCCACCAAGGCGACGAUGCGUAGCCGACCUGAGAGGGUGACCGGCCACACUGGGACUGAGACACGGCCCAGACUCCUGCGGGAGGCAGCAGUAGGGAAUCUUCCACAAUGGGCGCAAGCCUGAUGGAGCAACGCCGCGUGAGUGAGGAAGGCCUUCGGGUCGUAAAGCUCUGUUGCCAGGGAAGAAGAGCGGGGAGAGUAACUGCUCCCUGGCUGACGGUACCUGAGAAGAAAGCCCCGGCUAACUACGUGCCAGCAGCCGCGGUAAUACGUAGGGGGCGAGCGUUGUCCGGAAUUAUUGGGCGUAAAGCGCGCGCAGGCGGUUCUUUAAGUCUGGUGUUUAAGAGCGGGGCUCAACCCUGCUACGCACUGGAAACUGGAGGACUUGAGUGCAGUAGAGGGAAGCGGAAUUCCACGUGUAGCGGUGAAAUGCGUAGAGAUGUGGAGGAACACCAGUGGCGAAGGCGGCUUUCUGGGCUGUAACUGACGCUGAGGCGCGAAAGCGUGGGGAGCAAACAGGAUUAGAUACCCUGGUAGUCCACGCCGUAAACGAUGAGUGCUAGGUGUCGGUGGGGUCCACCUGCCGGUGCCGAAGUUAACACAUUAAGCACUCCGCCUGGGGAGUACGGUCGCAAGACUGAAACUCAAAGGAAUUGACGG
rnacentral:rRNA from 1 species